UUCAUGAUAAAGGCCCUGCUUUAUUGCAGAAACUGACUGCGGACUGCAGAGAGUCAAGGUUGAGAGGUAUCCUACGAAAGAUGUCCUGUGUCGUUCUGCUUUUUGUCACACCUCAGCCGCUAGUGCGACCUGUAAGUGAACAAGGGAAUCACGUGCGGCAUGAGGAACACAUUAGCCUGAAACAGGUGUGAUUGAGCCUACAGGAGCACAGCCAGCUUACAGUAUAUUUUAUGUGACUAACCACACACCUAGAUGGUGCUGGCCAAUUCCAACGCCCUCCACAGAAAACCAAGGCUAACCCUGAGCACGAUUUGUUCUGACUAAACUGUGACUGACCCACGGAUCGACAAGUAAGUCAUCAUCUUGAUCAUCUCGAACCUGGCCAAUAUCUUUCUCGAACUAAAGAUCCUGCGUACGUGCGCAGAUGACGUUCUGAGCAUUGCGUUUAUUCUCGAUUCACUAGGCUAGCGGAAAGCUCAUUUCUCCCAACGUUUUUUACGCAACUUGUUGUUCUGCCUAAAUGAAAUGUGUGUAGACUGAGUCCUUCUGCUACUACAAUGUCCCAAGUUAAAACAGACCGAGAAUGUUAUAGCCUACAAAUAGCCGCAGGGUUUCUAUUUCUGCUCUUCAGAAUGAGGCGGCGACGUGGGCUACAUCACCUUGAUUAAAUCACGAGCAGAGAAAGAAACGUUAAAGUGGAGGCUCAGCAGCAUACAUCCUACACACAUCUGAUGUGCUGAUUCGAGUGACGCGACCGAGCAGAGUCGUGGACUUCUCCGUGGAGAUGUGGGAAGAGGCUCUCAGCAAUCUCAGUUGUUUCCCGCAGGUCUUUGGUGACCGUUACGCAUCUUCUCACACUGCUCCCGAGAUGAGUAUGGAUGAUUUCAGAUGAGGGACCCCGGCCAUUGAUUUCCUGACAGGUGAUAAAGAUCAUCUAAUCCUGAGAAUUGGUGGGGGCUUUGGGGAGAACCGUUCGUUAUGCAAAUGAGACGUGCCGGAAUCGAUUGCACUGUAUGUGAUUGGAUUGUUCCCACUUUCCGCCUUGCGGCGCAUUCAGGGAGGGACGCCUGCCACGUAACUGCGAUCUGAGUGCUGGGGUUUCUCCGGGCGCCUCAUACCACGAUAGCUCCUCCGCUUUGGGAAAAGCCAGGGCAGCAGCACUGAAAAUGUUGUGGUGCGACAGCGGGCCGAAGAUCCAUCUCAUUCCCAGCGGAAACAGCAGCAAGUUUAAUGACAGAGACGUGAAAGACGAUGAGGCCCUAAUGGCUGCUAUUAGGAAAUCCCUCCAGUCAAAACAAUUCAAGCUGAGAGAUUAUAUUGGUAACCCAGGGAAGGAGUCAUCAUACCCAGCUCUCCAGUUGGACCUGGGAGUGUUUGGUCUCUCUCUCUGUCUCCCUGUGUUUCUCUGUUUCUCUCUGUUGGAUUAAAUGAGGCUACAAGUACAGGGAAAGGUCCAGAUGGUUGGGAGAGCAGAGCGAAGGGAGUAGA